rnacentral:rRNA from 1 species
GACGAACGCUGGCGGCGUGCCUAAUACAUGCAAGUUGAGCGCUGAAGGUUGGUACUUGUACCAACUGGAUGAGCAGCUAACGGGUGAGUAACGCGUGGGUAAUCUGCCUUUGAGCGGGGGACAACAUUUGGAAACGAAUGCUAAUACCGCAUAAAAACUUUAAACACAAGUUUUAAGUUUUAAAGAUGCCAUUGCAUCACUCAAAGAUGAUCCCGCGUUGUAUUAGCUAGUUGGUGAGGUAAAGGCUCACCAAGGCGAUGAUACAUAGCCGACCUGAGAGGGAGAUCGGCCACAUUGGGACUGAGACACGGCCCAAAAUCCUAAGGGAGGCAGCAGUAGGGAAUCUUCGGAAAUGGACGAAAGGCUGAACGAGCAAAGCCGCGUGAGUGAAGAAGGUUUUCGGAUCGUAAAACUCUGUUGGUAGAGAAGAACGUUGGUGAGAGUGGAAAGCUCAUCAAGUGACGGUAACUAAACAGAAAGGGACGGCUAACUACGUG